AUGGCGAUAGGGGCGUCCGUGGAGGCGCCGGCCGCCGGCUCCGGCGGGUACAGCGGCCGGGUGACGCCGUUCGUGGUGCUGACCUGCAUCGUCGCCGGCAGCGGCGGCAUCCUCUUCGGCUACGACCUCGGCAUCUCCGGUGGUGUCACCUCCAUGGACUCAUUUCUGAAGACGUUCUUCCCGGAGGUGUACAGCCACAAGCAGGACAGCAACGUCAGCAACUACUGCCAGUUCGACAGCGAGCUCCUCGCCGUCUUCACCUCCUCCCUCUACAUCGCCGGCCUCAUCGCGACGCUGUUCGCGUCGUGUGUCACGAGGAGGUUUGGCCGCCGCGCGUCCAUGCUGAUUGGCGGAACCGUCUUCAUCGCCGGCUCAGCGUUUUGGGGAGCAGCCGUGAACGUGCCCAUGUUGCUCCUCAACCGGAUCCUGCUUGGAAUAGGCCUGGGGUUCACUAACCAGUCGAUCCCAUUGUACCUGUCAGAAAUGGCGCCACCGCAGUACCGCGGUGCAAUCAACAAUGGGUUCGAGCUCAGCAUCAGCAUCGGCAUUCUCAUUGCAAACAUCCUCAACUACUGCGUGGUGAAACUCACAGCAGGGUGGGGCUGGAGGAUAUCCCUAUCCAUGGCCGCAGUCCCUGCUGCAUUCCUGACCAUCGGUGCAAUCUUCCUCCCCGAGACGCCAAGCUUCAUAAUCCAGCGGGACAGCGACACCGACAAGGCGAGAGCCCUGCUCCAGAAGCUGCGUGGAACCACCUCAGUACAGAAUGAGCUGGAUGACUUGGUCUCUGCUAGCAACCUCUCCAGGGCAGCCAGAUACCCAUUCAGAGACAUAUUCAAGAGGAAGUACAGGCCACAGCUCGCCAUGGUGUUCCUGAUCCCUUUCUUCAGCCAGCUCACCGGGAUCAAUGUGAUGAACUUCUAUGCCCCGGUGAUGUUCCGGACAAUUGGCCUCAAGGAGAGCGCCUCCCUCCUGUCUUCGGUGGUCACGCGUCUCUGCGCAACAUUUGCCAACAUCGUAGCGAUGAUGGUGGUCGACAGGUUUGGGCGCAGGAAGCUCUUCCUUGUAGGAGGGAUCCAGAUGAUCUUGUCGCAGCUCGCUGUCGGCGCCAUCCUAGCUGCAAAGUUCAAGGACAAUGGGUUGAUGGAUAAGGACUAUGCUUUCCUUGUGUUGAUCACCAUGUGUGUGUUUGUGGCAGGCUUUGCAUGGUCAUGGGGGCCUCUCACAUUCCUCGUCCCGACUGAGAUCUGCCCACUGGAGAUCAGGUCAGCAGGGCAGAGCAUUGUGGUCGCCGUGGUCUUCCUGAUGACGUUUGUGAUCGGCCAGACAUUUCUGGCGGUCCUCUGCCGCAUCAAGUCGGGAACGUUCUUCGUCUUUGCCGCGUGGAUUUGCGUGAUGACGCUAGUGGUCUAUCUGUUCCUGCCAGAGACCAAGAAGCUUCCGAUGGAGCAGAUGGAACAGGUCUGGAGGAGGCAUUGGUUCUGGAAGAAGAUUGUUGGGGAGGAAGAUGAUAAGGAAGAGGAGGAAAAGGAGAGGCAAGAAAGGAAAAUCUACUCGCCGAGCUCCUAG
rnacentral:rRNA from 1 species